AGCGAACGCUGGCGGCAGGCUUAACACAUGCAAGUCGAACGCUCCUAGCAAUAGGGGAGUGGCAGACGGGUGAGUAACGCGUGGGAACAUACCCUUUGGUUCGGAAUAACUCGGCGAAAGCCGUGCUAAUACCGGAUAAGCCCCUCACGGGGGAAAGAUUUAUCGCCGAAGGAUUGGCCCGCGUCCGAUUAGCUAGUUGGUGAGGUAAUGGCUCACCAAGGCGACGAUCGGUAGCUGGUCUGAGAGGAUGAUCAGCCACACUGGGACUGAGACACGGCCCAGACUCCUACGGGAGGCAG
rnacentral:rRNA from 1 species